rnacentral:rRNA from 1 species
UGGGGAAUUUUGGACAAUGGGCGAAAGCCUGAUCCAGCAAUGCCGCGUGUGUGAAGAAGGCCUUCGGGUUGUAAAGCACUUUUGUCCGGAAAGAAAUCCUUGGCUCUAAUACAGUCGGGGGAUGACGGUACCGGAAGAAUAAGCACCGGCUAACUACGUGCCAGCAGCCGCGGUAAUACGUAGGGUGCAAGCGUUAAUCGGAAUUACUGGGCGUAAAGCGUGCGCAGGCGGUUUGCUAAGACCGAUGUGAAAUCCCCGGGCUCAACCUGGGAACUGCAUUGGUGACUGGCAGGCUAGAGUAUGGCAGAGGGGGGUAGAAUUCCACGUGUAGCAGUGAAAUGCGUAGAGAUGUGGAGGAAUACCGAUGGCGAAGGCAGCCCCCUGGGCCAAUACUGACGCUCAUGCACGAAAGCGUGGGGAGCAAACAGGAUUAGAUACCCUGGUAGUCCACGCCCUAAAACGAUGUCAACUAGUUGUUGGGGAUUCAUUUCCUUAGUAACGUAGCUAACGCGUGAAGUUGACCGCCUGGGGAAUACGGUCGCAAGAUUAAAACUCAAAUGAAUUGACGGGGUCAUAGCUGUUUCCU